rnacentral:rRNA from 1 species
UCGAGAAUAAUUCGCAAUGGACGAAAGUCUGACGAUGCGACGCCGUGUGAACGAUGAAGGCCUUCGGGUUGUAAAGUUCUGUCGCCUGGGAACAAGGUAUUUUUGUGAAUAACAGAGAUAUUUGAGUGUACCAGGAAAGGAAGCACCGGCUAACUCCGUGCCAGCAGCUGCGGUAAUACGGAGGGUGCAAGCGUUAGUCGGAAUUACUGGGCGUAAAGGGUGCGUAGGCGGGAAUAUAAGUCAGAUGUGAAAAACUGAAGCUCAACUUCAGCCGUGCAUCUGAAACUGUAUUUCUAGAGGAAAGGCGGAGAAAACGGAAUUCCACGUGUAGCGGUGAAAUGCGUAGAUAUGUGGAAGAACACCAGUGGCGAAGGCGGUUUUCUAGCUUCGUCCUGACGCUGAGGCACGAAAGCAAGGGGAGCAAACAGGAUUAGAUACCCCCGUAGUCC